CACAUGUGUGUUUUUUGAGGUUAUUCAUAUUUUUGUUUGUAAAUUUCGUUUUUAUUGAACUUUAAAUAUGUCUUGUGCUUUGUACUGUGAAAGGAAGCGCAAAUUGCAGAAGAUGUCCAAUACAAAACAUUUCUAAAUAUUUAGCUUUCCUAGAAAUGAAACUUUACUGGACAAGGACAAGGUUCUUUCUAUC